AGCGAACGCUGGCGGCAGGCCUAACACAUGCAAGUCGAACGAACUCUUCGGAGUUAGUGGCGGACGGGUGAGUAACACGUGGGAACGUGCCUUUUGGUUCGGAAUAACUCAGGGAAACUUGUGCUAAUACCGAAUGUGCCCUUCGGGGGAAAGAUUUAUCGCCAUUAGAGCGGCCCGCGUCUGAUUAGCUCGUUGGUGAGGUAACGGCUCACCAAGGCGACGAUCAGUAGCUGGUCUGAGAGGAUGACCAGCCACACUGGGACUGAGACGCGGCCCAGACUCCUACGGGAGGCAGCAGUGGGGAAUCGUGCGAAAUGGGCGAAAGCCUGACGGAGCCAUGCCGCGUGAAUGAUGAAGGUCUUAGGAUUGUAAAAUUCUUUCACCGGGGACGAUAAUGACGGUACCCGGAGAAGAAGCCCCGGCUAACUUCGUG
rnacentral:rRNA from 1 species